rnacentral:SRP_RNA from 1 species
GCCGGAUGCGGUGGCGCGCGCCUGUAAUGCAAGGCACCAGGAGGCUGAGGCUGGUGGGUCGUUUGAGCUCAGGAGCUCCGAACUGUGCCGAUCGGGUGUCCGCACUAAGGUCAGUAUCAACAUGGCGGUCCUGGUGCACCGGCCCAGGUCGGAAACGGAGCAGGUCAAAGCCCACGUGCCGCUCAGUAGUGGGAUCGCGCCCGUGAAGAGUAAUAGAGCGGGAUCCAUUCUUC